rnacentral:tRNA from 1 species
GCGCCCGUGGCUUAACUGGAUAGAGCACCGCCCUCCGAAGGCGGGGAUUGCGCGUUCGAAUCGCGCCGGGCGCACCA